rnacentral:lncRNA from 1 species
GGAGGUGUAUUUUCAUAUAUUUUUUUAUAAAUUGUAAAAAUAAGAUCUUAAUUGACUCAUUGUUAUAUGCAUAAUGUAAUAGUUUAAUAGAGUAUUUUUAUAUUAUCGUUUUUCACUGUACAUAACAUAAUCUUUCCGCAAUACUAAACGAAGGCUUAAAUGGUGCAAUAUUUUUUUUUUAAGUGGAAAAAUAAUGAAGAAGAGUUGAGAAGAAGAAGGCGCCAUUAGAGAUGAUUUUGGAACUUGUAAUCACUUUGCCCUUUUUUUGCUCCUUCCCCUUUCUGGCCGAGUGAAGGAGGGAUAGGGAUGUCAAUGGGUAUGGAUAUCCGAAAUAUUAUCCGACUCCAAAUACGAACGGGGCGGGUUUAUUCGAGCUAAACGGGUAUGAAUUUGGUUAUAGGUCUAGAAAAUAAAAACCCGACGGAUAUAGAUACGGAUAUGGAUUUUGUAUUUACCCGACCCGAACCCGAAAAAAUUAUAUAUAUACAUACUUUAUUUUUAUUUAUUUAUAUAAUAUAUACAAUAUUUAAUAAUUUUUAUUUUAGAUCUUCAUUCAACGGUAUAAAUUUUUAAAAAUCCGCUGGGUUCGGUUCCGGAUUCGGAUUUUGGGUUUUUGGUAGGGUACGGAUAUAGGUAUGGAUUUUUAAAACCCGUCAGGUUCGGAUCCGAGUACGGAUUUUAAUUUGAUUUUCGGGUUCGGAUUCGAGUUUUUAAAAAUUCGACCCAAAUCUGACCCGUUGACAUCCCUAAGAAGGGGACUGGAGUGGAGCUUUUUAGAGUAACUUUUUUUUUC